rnacentral:rRNA from 1 species
AUGCACUUUCUUCCCCGUCUUCCACUCUUCUUCCUCCUCUCUUCUUCUUCCUCCUCUCUUCUUCUUCCUCCUCUCUUCCCCAUCGUCGGCCGCACACCAUUUACCCCCGCUCACUGCUCGCCCACCCGCGCCAUCUUCCUUGUACCAUAUAACUGGAAUUACCGAUGCAAGUCGAAGAAGGAUUGGCCGGUGCUGCCGGCUGGCGUCAAGUUCGAUCCCACGGAUCAGGAGCUGAUCGAGCACCUUGAGGCCAAAGUGAGUGCUAACAGCGCGAGAUUUCAGUCUCUCAUCGAUUUGUUCAUACCAACCAUCGACAGCGAGCACGGCAUAUGCUACACCCAACCUGAGAAACUUCCAGCACAAUUCCAAGGCGUUCAAAAGGGGCACAUGGACGCGUCGCAAGAUACAGUCGGAGUGCGGCAUGCACGUGAUGUGGCACAAGACCGGCAAUACCUUACCGGUGAUGGUCAACGGCCGGCAAGACGGGCAGCACAAAAGGUUCUGGUGCUGCACACCAACAAGAACUUCGACCAGCAGAGGACCAACUGGGUGAUGCACCAGUACCACCUCGGGGACCUGGAGCAAGAGAAGGAGCGGGAGCUGGUCCUCUGCAAGAUUUUCUACCAGACGAACACUAGGGCCAGGAGUAAAAAGAUUAUAAGUUAG